rnacentral:tRNA from 1 species
AAAAAAUUAGUUAAAUUUAUAACAUUAGUAUGUCAAACUAAAAUUAUUAAUCAAUCAUUUAAUAUUUUUUA